ensembl:lncRNA
AUGUAUAUAUAUAUAUAUAUAUAUAUAUAUAUAUAUAUAUAUAUAUAUAUAUAUAUAUAUAUAUAUAUAUAUAUAUAUAUAUAUAUAUAUUUUUCAGAGUUAGCUGAGGAGUACCCAGUAAAAAAAAAAGGAUCUAAUGUGAUUUUGCCUGGGGCACCUUGCUUUCCAUGUCUUUCAACACCACAACUGCAGCCACAUCAGUCAGUUUCUGCCAACUGGCAGAAUCAAGGUGCACUAAAACACACACACACACACACACACACACACACACACACACACACACACAAUGUAUUCAUUAUCUGACAAAAUGUAUUUGUGACUUGUUUAGGAAAUGUGAUUAAUCCACAAUCUCUUCAGGAUGGUAACAAUUUAUUUCAUCAUAAUUAUUAAAUUAUUAUGUUGUCUUAUGACAGUGUUAUUAUUAUAUUAUUAUUUAUUGCUGUAGUUUGUAAUGUCAUUUAUGUUUCAAAAUAAAUUCUGCACAGAAAUCUACAAGUUAUUUGAGAAUUUAGAAAGAAGAAUCAUGUUGAAACUGGACCAAAUCCAAAAACAACAUUACAUCAGUGGUUGAAACAAUGCAGCAAUCAAUGAACCAGCCAAGCACCUCUGUCUCCGAUCUCACAGAGGUGCUAGAGAAACUCAUGCAAGACUGUAGAGGAAUUAGAGGAGUUAUGUGAUAAGCUGAAAGAUGCUGAAUUUCGAAAGAAGAUGGUAUGUGCCUUAACACAAGCAACAUUACUGAUUUUUAACCUAUGAUAAUUUAAAACAUUUUGCUCUUGUGUUCAAUUACUGAUUGUUGUUGUUUGUAGAUUCGUUAUCUGUGUCUUCAGAGUGGAGGCAACAUGGGAGAAGGAAUUAGGAGGAUGCUGAAAAAAAUUGGAGAUAAUUCCUUAUGGGGAUAUUACAGUUACAAAGGGAGAAAGGGAAAACUUAAAUUUCAGCAGCUCCUCAUCAAUGAUGUCAUCAUACGUAAAUUUCAAAAACUUGCCACUAAUGACUAAUAAUCUGUUAAUUAAUCUGUCUGUCAAAUUAUUUGGAUUGUUAAUAAAUUGUAAAUAAGAUUUGGUAGGUUGUAAAUGUUGUUCCUCCUUUUAAAUGUAAAAGUUGUAAGUUCUUCUCAAUACAUAUAUUAUGUAUAUUCAUAUCAGAAAUAAGAUUAAUGUUUGAUGUUCUUAGAAUAGAACUUUGUCAUUCUAAUUUCUAGUUUUAAUUUUAAUAAUGGUGAUCUCUGUAUUAAAUCAAGGUGCCUGCAGCAAGGCAUACCCAAACCAAAAA